rnacentral:lncRNA from 1 species
CGUGUCUCCCACUCAGCACUAUGGAGGCCAGCUGCAGGAGGAGCUGAGCAUGAGGCUACAGCAGGGGACAGAGUGGAACAUAGACAGGGACUUCCUGGCACCGAGACAUUAAAAUGAGAGCAGAGGAAGUCAGGCUGGGGCAGAGAAAAUCACUGUGCUGAUCGGGAAGCCCUUCAGUGCCCUGCCUGUACUCGAGCGGCUCCGGGCGGAGAACAAGUCGGCUGUGGAGAUGCGGAAAGCCCUGACGGACUUCAUUCAAGAGGAAUUCCAGCAUCUGAAGACUCAGGCAGAGCAGCUCCACAACCACCUCCAGCCUGGGAGAUAGGCCUUGCUUGCUGCCUUCUGGAUUCUUGGCCCGCACAGAGCUGGGGCUGAGGGAUGGACUGAUGCUUUUAGCUCAAACGUGGCUUUUAGACAGAUUUGUUCAUAGACCCUCUCAAGUGCCCUCUCCGAGCUGGUAGGCAUUCCAGCUCCUCCGUGCUUCCUCAGUUACACAAAGGACCUCAGCUGCUUCUCCCACUUGGCCAAGCAGGGAGGAAGAAGCUUAGGCAGGGCUCUCUUUCCUUCUUGCCUUCAGAUGUUCUCUCCCAGGGGCUGGCUUCAGGAGGGAGCAUAGAAGGCAGGUGAGCAACCAGUUGGCUAGGGGAGCAGGGGGCCCACCAGAGCUGUGGAGAGGGGACCCUAAGACUCCUCGGCCUGGCUCCUACCCACCGCCCUUGCCGAACCAGGAGCUGCUCACUACCUCCUCAGGGAUGGCCGUUGGCCACGUCUUCCUUCUGCCUGAGCUUCCCCCCCACCACAGGCCCUUUCCUCAGGCAAGGUCUGGCCUCAGGUGGGCCGCAGGCGGGAAAAGCAGCCCUUGGCCAGAAGUCAAGCCCAGCCACGUGGAGCCUAGAGUGAGGGCCUGAGGUCUGGCUGCUUGCCCCCAUGCUGGCGCCAACAACUUCUCCAUCCUUUCUGCCUCUCAACAUCACUUGAAUCCUAGGGCCUGGGUUUUCAUGUUUUUGAAACAGAACCAUAAAGCAUAUGUGUUGGCUUGUU